rnacentral:rRNA from 1 species
CUGGCUCAGGACGAACGCUGGCGGCGUGCCUAAUACAUGCAAGUCGAGCGAACUUUUGGGAGCUUGCUCCCAAAAGUUAGCGGCGGACGGGUGAGUAACACGUGGGCAACCUGCCUGUAAGACUGGGAUAACUUCGGGAAACCGGAGCUAAUACCGGAUAAUUCUUUUCCUCUCAUGAGGAAAAGCUGAAAGGCGGCUUCGGCUGUCACUUACAGAUGGGCCCGCGGCGCAUUAGCUAGUUGGUGAGGUAACGGCUCACCAAGGCGACGAUGCGUAGCCGACCUGAGAGGGUGAUCGGCCACACUGGGACUGAGACACGGCCCAGACUCCUACGGGAGGCAGCAGUAGGGAAUCUUCCGCAAUGGACGAAAGUCUGACGGAGCAACGCCGCGUGAGUGAUGAAGGUUUUCGGAUCGUAAAACUCUGUUGUUAGGGAAGAACAAGUACGAGAGUAACUGCUCGUACCUUGACGGUACCUAACCAGAAAGCCACGGCUAACUACGUGCCAGCAGCCGCGGUAAUACGUAGGUGGCAAGCGUUGUCCGGAAUUAUUGGGCGUAAAGCGCGCGCAGGCGGUUCCUUAAGUCUGAUGUGAAAGCCCACGGCUCAACCGUGGAGGGUCAUUGGAAACUGGGGAACUUGAGUGCAGAAGAGAAGAGUGGAAUUCCACGUGUAGCGGUGAAAUGCGUAGAGAUGUGGAGGAACACCAGUGGCGAAGGCGACUCUUUGGUCUGUAACUGACGCUGAGGC